UACGUAGGUGGCAAGCGUUGUCCGGAUUUACUGGGCGUAAAGAGCGCGCAGGCGGUCGUUCAAGUCGAGUGUGAAAGCCCCCGGCUCAACUGGGGAGGGUCAUUCGAUACUGAUCGACUCGAAGGCAGGAGAGGGUAGUGGAAUUCCCGGUGUAGUGGUGAAAUGCGUAGAUAUCGGGAGGAACACCAGUGGCGAAGGCGACUACCUGGCCUGUUCUUGACGCUGAGGCGCGAAAGCCAGGGGGAGCAAACGGG
rnacentral:rRNA from 1 species